rnacentral:rRNA from 1 species
AGAGUGAACGCUGGCGGUAGGCCUAACACAUGCAAGUCGAACGGCAGCACGGUAAGAGCUUGCUCUUAUGGGUGGCGAGUGGCGGACGGGUGAGGAAUACAUCGGAAUCUACCUUUUGGUGGGGGAUAACGUAGGGAAACUUACGCUAAUACCGCAUACGCCCUUCGGGGGAAAGCCGGGGACCAGCAAUGGCCUGGUGCUGAUAGAUGAGCCGAUGUCGGAUUAGCUAGUUGGUGAGGUAAUGGCUCACCAAGGCGACGAUCCGUAGCUGGUCUGGAGAGGAUGAUCAGCCACACUGGAACUGACGACACGGUCCAGACCUCCGUACGGGAGCAGCGAGGUGGGAAUAGUGACAG